UACGUAGGGUGCGAGCGUUUAAUCGGAAUUACUGGGCGUAAAGCGUGCGCAGGCGGUCUGUUAAGACCGAUGUGAAAUCCCCGGGCUUAACCUGGGAACUGCAUUGGUGACUGGCAGGCUUUGAGUGUGGCAGAGGGAGGUAGAAUUCCACGUGUAGCAGUGAAAUGCGUAGAGAUGUGGAGGAAUACCGAUGGCGAAGGCAGCCUCCUGGGCCAACACUGACGCUCAUGCACAAAGCGUGGGGAGCAAACAG
rnacentral:rRNA from 1 species